rnacentral:rRNA from 1 species
AACACUGGCGGCGUGCUUAUACAUGCAGUCGAACGAAGAGUCUACAAUAGUCUCUGAGUGGGAACGGGUGAGUAACGCGUGGGUGACCUGCCCCACAGCGGGGGAUACCAGCUCGAAAGGGCUGCUAAUACCCCAUGCGGUCCGGGGAGUUAGAGACCCCGGUCCAAAGGCGUAAGCCGCUGUGGGAGGGACCUGCGUCCCAUCAGCUGGUUGGUAGGGUAACGGCCUACCAAGGCUCAGACGGGUAGGGGGCCUGAGAGGGUGACCCCCCACACUGGCACUGAAACACGGGCCAGACACCUACGGGUGGCAGCAGUAGGGAAUAUUGCACAAUGGGCGCAAGCCUGAUGCAGCAACGCCGCGUGCGCGAUGAAGGCCUUCGGGUCGUAAAGCGCUUUUCUGGAGGACGAGCAAGGACGGUACUCCAGGAAGAAGGCUCGGCUAACUACGUGCCAGCAGCCGCGGUAAAACGUAGGAGCCAAGCGUUAUCCGAAUUCACUGGGCGUAAAGCGCGUGCAGGCGGCUAGGUAAG